GACAGUAGUCACAGAUGAAAAUUAAUCAAGAUAUUUAAUACAGUGCAAUCCAUAGUAGUUUCUCAAUUAAAAUAAUUGUGUGCAUGUAUCUGAAUGGGUUAUCAAUUAUCACAAAAAGCAAUAAACAUUGUAGUGCUAUGUAGAAAAAUGUACAACUGAAAUUUAAAUCUUCCCUACUUCCAAGAUAGCAUUUGUCAAUUGCAGAUCAUUAUCACCAAUUAAAAUGGGAAUAGAGACUACGCUGUUGCGGUGACAGACACAAGGCUGGCCACACAUCAGUCAAGGGAUAUAAAUAUAACUUGCAAAGAACUAAAAACCUAAAGUAUUCCUGCACCUAAACACAAUAAGAAGCCGAUGGUGGCUUACGACUUUUCCUUUUUUUUUUUUUUAAAUGCCUUACAAGACUUCUAAACACACUUAAACUGACUUAAAAUUACAGAGUGCUUUUCAGCUCAUUUCAAUUCAAUACGGCCCAAACGUUUGAAGAGGAAGAUCCAGCAGUGGCAUUAGCACAGUCCAAAAGCUGAAUGUUUAAUUUUGCAAAUACCUUUUUACAGAAAUUCAACCGUAUAAACCUCAGGCAAUUCCCUCUGCUCCCCUCUCUUUCCUUUGUGCAGACCACACUAUGCAGAAAACAGCAACGCAGUUCCCACUGCUUCAGGUUAAAAUUAAAGAUAAAGACAUUUUACUUAUGUUUUCUCCUCAACACAAUAUAUUUGCACCCAGAAUAGGUAAUCAAAGUCUUUUUCCAGCCGAUUACUGCUGUGGUUACAUGUUUCCUGCCCAAGCUUCCAGCUCUUUCAUGUCAUCAUCCUCCUCUUCCUCUUUCUUCUUGGCUGGCUUUGAUGGUAUUGAUAUUGAGGGCACAUUUGGUAGUGGUACUGUUUCGGGACCACUUAUUUCCAGCAAGUUUUUGUCUAAUUCUUCUUGUUCUAGUUCCUCUAGUUCUGCCAUGAGUUCAUCCUCAUCAAAUUCCUCCCCAAAUCCUACUGGCUUUGAGAUCGCUGUUGAAAUCUCAUCUGCCAGCUCUUGCUGCUCCGCAAUGUCCUGCAUUAAUUCAUCUACUUUAUCAAUAUCCAUGUUGUCAUGAGCAGCUUUCAUAGCUUUAGCAGCAAAACCCAUAUUCUUAAGCACUUCAGUGUUGGUGUUGGCAUUCUCCAGGGCUUCCCUCUGAAAUUCGAUUGUGGACAACGUGCCAUCUAUCUGUGCAAGCUGCUUCUCAUACCUCUUCUUACGCUUUAGGGCCUGAAGAGCAGCGCGCUUGUUCUUGGUGCCGUGUUUGCGGGCGGCCGCCAGCUCCUGCUCGAUCUUCUUCUCCAGGAACUCCUGCUUCUUGCUCAGCAUCUCCUCCGUGUCCCGCAGCCGCUGGAUGGCCUCCUGAGGGGACGGGCCCUUCCCGGCGCCCUUCCCGCCGGCGCCGGCCCCGAACAGCUUCCCCAGGAUCCCCGACAUGGCUGCGCUAUGCCGGGCCGCGCUACGAGGCGAUGGCAGCUGCGGAGCGCGAGCGGCGCUCCCCUCACUUCGAGCCCGUCACUGCGUGCCCCUCGCGGAGCGCCCGUCGGGCAGCCCGGCCCUCUGUCUGCCCGCCCGCUCGAAGAGCUCCGCAACGCGUGGGCCCCUCCGCCACCACCGGCUGCUCGCUCGGGCCUGAACCCCGCCCCAGCUCGCCGCCCCACCGCGGCCGACCCCGCGCCGCAUACAGCUCCCAGCGUACCCCG
rnacentral:lncRNA from 1 species